ACGGAAGGCAGCAGUGGGGAAUAUUGCACAAUGGGGGAAACCCUGAUGCAGCGACGCCGCGUGAGUGAAGAAGUAUUUCGGUAUGUAAAGCUCUAUCAGCAGGGAAGAAAAUGACGGUACCUGACUAAGAAGCCCCGGCUAACUACGUGCCAGCAGUCGCGGUAAUACGUAGGGGGCAAGCGUUAUCCGGAUUUACUGGGUGUAAAGGGUGCGUAGGCGGCACGACAAGUCAGAAGUGAAAUCCCAGGGCUCAACCCUGGAACUGCUUUUGAAACUGUCGAGCUAGAGUACAGGAGAGGUAAGCGGAAUUCCUAGUGUAGCGGUGAAAUGCGUAGAUAUUAGGAGGAACACCAGUGGCGAAGGCGGCUUGCUGGACUGACACUGACGCUGAGGCACGAAAGCGUGGGGAGCAAACAGGAUUAGAUACCCUGGUA
rnacentral:rRNA from 1 species